AUUCUCCGAGGUUCUCCGCCGUUUCCAUCUCCAACAUGCUGUCCUUCUUCCUGUGCGCUCCGCCCCAGCGCGUGCGUGCCUCGGCCGUUGAGCCGUCGGUGUUCUGCGCUCGAGUCGCCUCCGAAAAUGUCGCCGGCUUCAUCCUCACUCGCCGGGAGCUGAAGCUGCAUAACUGUAUCUUUACCCUCCAUGCCUCUCUCCCCGCGGCUUCCGCCAUGGCCGCCCAGCUGAGGGAGGAAGAAGACUUUACUCCCGGCCACCUACCUCUGCCUGGAGAAACGGAGCUGAGUAACUCCUGCGCAGUGCUCGGGGCUCGAGGCGGUGUCGACUUGAAGAGGCUGGACGUGGAGAGAUCUCCAAAUCUCGCUACAGCCCCCUCGGACUCGACCAGGAGUUAUGAUGCUCCCCUUCCUCCUGUCUUGUCCCCGGCAAGGGAGCAGCGAGGUGGUGAUCAGUCACAGGGGAAGGAACCCAUGCAUGCUGCCUCCAGCGUGUCAGGUCCGGGACAGAUGAAAGCCUCCAUUAACGCUGCUGUUAACGGCUCUAAGCCGAAAACUUAUGCUGAAGCCCUCCUCUCGUCUGGUAUGUCUACUGCCUCCGGCUCCGACCGGGGCAAGGGCAAACGCCGGCCUGCUCCCUUGGUGCCUCCCGCCGUUGGGUGCUUCCGCUGCCUUUCGCCCUCUCACAUGGUUCGUGACUGCCGUGACCCGCUCAGGUGCCGGCGCUGUGGUGGCAACGGCCACCGACAGUUCCAGUGCUCCAUGCCUGUCGCGCGCCGUCGCCAAACCCCUUUCACCCGCCACCCGGCUUCAGCUCGCCAUGUCCGCCGUCCUGUUCCUGUCAAUGCUGCCGUUCCGUAUGUCCUUCGCACACUUCUUCCUCCUGCUCACGGGUGAUGCUGCUGCUGGGUCCCGGUCGCCUCGCCGGUCGCCACUGCCGUGCCGCUCGUCUUGGGAUGGCUAGCUAUAAAAGAAGCUGCAAACCUCUGGCUGACUGGCAACAUCUCAUUACCAAGAGAAGACACAAGUGUAGUUGCGGUUUGGUGUACCUCUAUUGUUUCUUUUAUGGAUUAGCCCUCUCUUUCUGCUGUGUACUCCCUUAAUUUGAACAGCAAGGUCUUGGCUGCUCCUGUGCAAUAUAUCGGGUGGUCAAUUUGAAAAAGACAGGGGAUAGCCUCCCUUACAUAGUUUAGAUAUAAGAGCUAAUUACCUAUUAGCUAAAAUUAGCUCUAACGCAUCAAAUAAGAGAGCUAAAGGUGGCUAAGUUUUUAGCUAAGUCUUCGACUAGCUGUUAUCCAACUAACUAGCCAACCACAACUAAUUUGAGCUAAUUUUUAGCCCUAAAAGUAACUAUCCAUAUGUAUCCAAACAGACCCUUAUUUUUUACUUCAUAUAUACAAACAAACAAGAAGAUACUCAGUAGCACACUUGUGCCCGAGCUAGCCUAAACGGUUCGUUUUUGAAUUCCACUGGGAAUAAAAAAACACCUAGAUCAAAUUUGUAGGACAGUAGGAAAUGAUUUCAGCAGCCUAAGCGAGUGAUGUAACUAUAUAACCUUGACAUGAGACCUAGACCCAGGUAUAUGCAACUCUACUUCAUGACGUGCUACAUUUCUUUCCGAAGAGCACGAACAUGGAUCGGCAGCAGCAGUGGCGGAUCCAGAAACGGAUCAAGAGGAGGGCUAAAUAAACAUAGGCUAAAUUUUUUUUCUUGCUCAAUGCAGUGCACUAAUAGAUAUAGCUAAGAUUGAUAAUUUAAUAUUGAUUCAAAGUGUUCAAAGACAAAGAUUCGUAGAAUAAACAUAGAAAAAUACCAAAUAUAUGAAAUCUUUUGCAAAAAAGAAAAACCUAUUAAAAGAUUUUUGAGUCCAAGAGGGGGGCUGCAGCCACCCCAGCCCCCCCCUCCCCCCUGCAUCCGCCAAUGGGCCGCAGCAGAGUCAGGAACUCCGUUUGCGAAAUUUUACUGCAGGCACAGCCUUGUGCGCCUAUGGGAAUCAGUUCCUCUAAGCAUCAGACUCGUGGUGAAGCAGAAAGAAAGAGCGGCCAAGCAAUAUGUAAAAGAGCACAAGGUUCAGCAGAACACAAUAACACAUAGAUGGAUCCCAAUAAUUUCAGCCCCGAAAGGCAGGACACUUAUGAACAAAAUACCAAGAAGACAAUCACAAUCAUAAGGGAAGCGAGGUCUGUGUCUGUCAUGGUCUUACCUGAAAACGAUGGACCCAACAAUCCAGCCCCAAGAACAAUCUGAAGUUAUCAAUUCCUUAUUCAGAGUUUCACCCAUCUCCACUUCCACUGUUUGGAAGGAAAACCAUAGAAAGUGCGAAUUAUAAAAAUUCUUUUUACUAAAGAAAAUGAAAUUAUGCACAAUAUAAAAACAAGAACAGAGAGAUUCCAUCGGAAUAGGAAUAGAGAGACCAAGGUAAUGCAAUUAUAGAGGCGUCAGAGUUUAUACACACCUGACCAAGAUGGACACAGCGGCGAGCCCCAAGGAAAACCUGAAUUUCUUAGCAGAGUUUCACCCACCUCGCUCUUUGCACUGUUUCCAAUGGAAAACCAUAGACAAGAAAUUAAUUAAACGGCCUUUCCUAAGGAAAAUGGAAGAUAUGCUGAUGCUUCGAGCUAGACGAGAAGAGAUAGAGAUGAAAGGCAUGGCAAUAUGUCAAGAUAUGUUUGGAGAUCUGUAACUUGUGAUGCAGAGAGUUGAACUACUUACACUGAAUGAUGUUUUGCUGCCAAUUUGGGGUCGGGAAACAGCAAAACGAGAAAAUAAUUCUACUUCAUCUUCCCAAACAAUUUUCAUGAAAACCCAAUGAUUAAAGAUGCCACGAACAUCCCCUUCUAAAAAAGAUACCAAGAACAGUUGAUCCAUCCCAUGAGCGAAGCAUAUGCAUCACCCCGUGUUCGGCUCAAACUGACAGAGAGCGAAAUUCAGCUCAUCAUCACCACCAAGCAAGAACUGCCCCUCCAAAAAAGUAUCUCCUGAGACGCAAUCACGAAAGGAAGGAAACAACACUCCAGAGCUAAGAAAAACAAACGAAAAUUCGCUGAGAAAACCGUAACCCUACCCAGCAACCAAAACAAGCAGCGACAUCAGAGCUCCCAGAGAAAAAGCCGCAUCAACGAAUCGCAUCAGAUCAGCAGCAAGUUCUUACCUCAGCUUAGAUUCGUGUCCGUAUUCGAUUCGUCUUCGCGCUUGCUCUCUCGUCUGCUGCAAAGGUUGUGGGGGAGCAGGUGGUGGUCAACACUCAACCGCAGGAAAUGUUUUGCCGCGUGAAACUGAAACCCUGUUUAUUUGGUCCAACAGCCAACACGCUAGGAUCACUGUAAACUGAUUGGCAGUCCUCGCCUCAAACGCAUUAAAAACACGUGGUCAAACAACUCUUCCCUUUUUUCUUUCGUUUUUCCAAGCAAAGAAAAAUAUGUCUGGGAGGGGGGACAUGAAAACGACCGGACUAAUGCAGGGGAAAAGCAU
rnacentral:lncRNA from 1 species